rnacentral:rRNA from 1 species
AGUGAACGCUGGCGGUAGGCCUAACACAUGCAAGUCGAACGGCAGCACAGUAAGAGCUUGCUCUUACUGGUGGCGAGUGGCGGACGGGUGAGGAAUACAUCGGAAUCUACUUUUUCUUGGGGGAUAACGUAGGGAAACUUACGCUAAUACCGCAUACUACCUACGGGUGAAAGCAGGGGAUCUUCGGACCUUGCGCGAUUGAAUGAGCCGAUGUCGGAUUAGCUAGUUGGCGGGGUAAAGGCCCACCAAGGCGACGAUCCGUAGCUGGUCUGAGAGGAUGAUCAGCCACACUGGAACUGAGACACGGUCCAGACUCCUACGGGAGGCAGCAGUGGGGAAUAUUGGACAAUGGGCGCAAGCCUGAUCCAGCCAUACCGCGUGGGUGAAGAAGGCCUUCGGGUUGUAAAGCCCUUUUGUUGGGAAAGAAAAGCAGCAGGUUAAUACCCCGCUGUUCUGACGGUACCCAAAGAAUAAGCACCGGCUAACUUCGUG